GCGGAGAGCCGGAUGGCCGCGGGCAGGCCCCGCCUGUCCGAGGAAAGUCCGGACUCCCCGAAGCGACGGUGCCGGGUAACGCCCGGGCAGGGCAACCUGACGGACAGCGCCACAGAAAACAGACCGCCCGGUCCUUCGGGACCGGGUCAGGGUGAAACGGUGGGGUAAGAGCCCACCGGGGGGUCGGCAACGGCGCCCGCAUGGCAAGCCCCACCGGGAGCAAUGCCAAAUAGGGAUCCCGCGCGGGGGCGACCCCGCAGGGCGGCUUCGGCCCGAGGGAUCCGGGUUGGCAGCUCGAGCCGCCGGGCGACCGGCGGCCCAGAGGAAUGGUCAUCUCCGCCCCCUUCAUCGGGGGUGCAGACAGAAUCCGGCUUAUAGGCUCUCCGCGCUU
rnacentral:RNase_P_RNA from 1 species